CUUUUGAUUAUAAUUUAAGGUCUGGCCUGCCCAAUGAGUUUUGAAUGGCCGCGGUAUUUUGACCGUGCAAAGGUAGCAUAAUCAUUAGUNUKUAAUUAAAAGCUGGAAUGAAGGGUUGGAUGAGAAAAUAGUUGUCUCUAUUUAAAUUUGUUAGAAUUUUAUGUUUAAGUAAAAAAGCUUAAAUUUAGUUAGAAGACGAGAAGACCCUAUAGAGUUUUAUUAAUUUUUAUGAAAAAAAUUUUAGUAUUAAUAGAUUUUUUAUUGGAAUUAAUUAGAUUGGGGUGAUUGGAAAAUUUAAUAAACUUUUUUUAUAUUUUUACAUUUAUUUAUGAAUAUUUGAUCCUUAUUUAAAGAUUAAAAGAUAAAAUUACCUUAGGGAUAACAGCGUAAUUUUUUUAGAGAGUUCUUAUCGAAAGAAAAGAUUGCGACCUCGAUGUUGGAUUAAAAUAAAAUUUUGGUGUAGAAGCUAAA
rnacentral:rRNA from 1 species